rnacentral:rRNA from 1 species
UACGUAGGGGGCGAGCGUUGUCCGGAGUACUGGGCGUAAAGCGCACGCAGGCGGUCUGCUAAGUUUGGAGUGACAGUUGGUGGCUUAACUGCCAAAGUGCUUCGAAAACUGACAGACUUGAGGGCUUCAGAGGGACACGGAAUUCCGGGUGGAGUGGUGAAAUGCGUAGAGAUCUGGAGGAAUACCGGUGGCGAAGGCGGCCCCCUGGACAAAGACUGACGCUCAGGUGCGAAAGCGUGGGGAGCAAACAGG